rnacentral:rRNA from 1 species
AUGGCUUUCUGUGGUGGUUUCAUGGACAAGGCCAAGCCAUACAUCGCCAUGAUCUCCCUACAGUUUGGCUACGCCGGCAUGAACGUCCUUACCAAGGUCUCUCUCAACGGCGGGAUGAGCCACUACGUGCUCGUCGUGUACCGACACGCCUUCGCCACACUCGCCAUUGCACCCUUCGCUCUCUUCAUCGAGAGGAAAGUGAGGCCGAAGAUGACGUGGUCCAUCUUCUUCCAAAUCUUCGUCCUUGCGCUGCUCGGACCGGUGAUCGAUCAGAAUUUCUACUACGUGGGGCUGAAGUACACCGGCCCGACGUUCGCCUGCGCGAUGAGCAACAUCCUGCCGGCGAUGACCUUCGUCAUGGCGGUGAUCUUCAGGAUGGAGAAGAUAGAGUUGAAGAAGGUGCGGUGCCAGGCCAAGAUCUUCGGAACGGUGGUGACGGUGGCCGGCGCUAUGCUCAUGACGCUUUACAAGGGGCCCCUCAUGCACCUGCCAUGGACCAACGGCCACGCGCAGCCCAGCGGCGGCGAGGCCCCGGGUGCCGCCGGCGUCGACCCCACCGCGAGGGAGUGGUUCCUGGGCUCCCUCUUCAUCAUCAUCGCCACCCUCGCCUGGGCCUCGCUCUUCAUCCUGCAGACCCACACCAUCAAGAAGUACACUGCCCAGCUCUCCCUCACCACCCUCAUCUGCUUCAUCGGCACCAUCCAGGCCAUCGCCGUAACCUUCAUCAUGGAGCGCCGCGUCUCCGUCUGGACCAUCGGCUUCGACAUGAACCUCCUCGCCGCCGCCUACGCAGGCAUCGUGACGUCGAGCAUCGCGUACUACGUGCAGGGGCUGGUGAUCCAGAAGACGGGGCCGGUGUUCGCGUCGGCGUUCAGCCCGCUGAUGAUGAUCAUCGUGGCCGUCAUGGGGUCCUUCAUCCUGUCCGAGAAGAUAUACCUCGGGGCCGUGCUGGGCGCCGUGGUGAUCGUGGUCGGGCUCUACGCCGUGCUCUGGGGCAAGCACAAGGAGACGCAGGAGCAGGAGGCGGACGCCAAGGCGGCGCUGCCGGUGGCCUCCAAGGGACCAGACGGCGCGAGCGUCCUGCAAGGAGCUGCUGCCGCCGCCGGAGAUGAUGAUGGGAUGAGGUCGGCCUCCAACGGACGUGGAGCUGGGUCAGCCAGUGCAGUUUGA